rnacentral:rRNA from 1 species
GGAAUUGACGGGGCCGCACAAGCGUGGAGCAUGUGGUUUAAUUCGAUGAUACGCGAGGAACCUUACCUGGGCUCAAAUGUAUGUUGACGUAUUCUGAAAGGGAUACUUCUUCGGACAAUAUACAAGGUGCUGCAUGGUUGUCGUCAGCUCGUGCCGUGAGGUGUCGGGUUAAGUCCCAUAACGAGCGCAACCCCUAUCAUUAGUUGCCAUCAGGUCAAGCUGGGGACUCUAAUGAAACUGCCUACGCAAGUAGUGAGGAAGGUGGGGAUGACGUCAAAUCAGCACGGCCCUUACGUCCAGGGCUACACACGUGCUACAAUGGCCGGUACAAAGGGCAGCUACCUGGUGACAGGAUGCUAAUCUCAAAAGCCGGUCUCAGUUCGGAUCGGAGUCUGCAACCCGACUCCGUGAAGCUGGAAUCGCUAGUAAUCGCGCAUCAGCCAUGGCGCGGUGAAUACGUUCCCGGGCCUU